UUUACGGAACGGUGCGUCGUCGCACUCUCUAAGUAAUCAAAAGUAGAAAGUGGAUAUAAUUUUUUUUUUUUUUUGGUGAACGAGAUAAUAUAAUUUGAUGUGCAGUGAAGUGAGAGAACAAGCGAAUCCAAAUGGAACCAAUAUUUUAACCAUGAGCUAGUGGUCCUGGUAAAUGACGGAUUACGAACUUUCUUUAAAAUUAAAAACUAAAGGUUUUAGGUUUGAAAUCUACUGUUGAUGUGAAAGCUAUAAACUUAUAGCCAAGGAAAAAUUGAAACAUCCUUGUGAAUCUUUUAGACCUUCAAAAAGAAUGAAUAACCGUGGUUUAAUACUAAUGGUUCGCUUUUAUUUAAAAAAGAAAAAGGAACCAAUAUUUUUACUAUUAAGUCGCAACGUUCAAUUUAACUUUGGUCGGUUACGUACAAAUGUACCCUGUGCAUCCUACAAAAAUCUUUUGAAGUGCGCAGUGCGCAGAGCAUGGCUCACGUUAGCAGCUCCCGAGAACACACAGCGUUUUAACUUUUCCCACUGUGGACCUACUUUAUUAAUAAGCUAAGGGUGAAAAAUUAAGGAAAUUUGUGUUCCUCAAAGGUCAAAUUUACCCAUUCAGCUUGGUUUAGUCCUACUGUGUGAAAGUUUAAAAUGCAAGGACAAAAUGGGUACUUCAACAAACGAACACAAUAACAAAUACAGGUGUUAAAAUAAUUUCUUGAAAUUUUGAUUUCAUUUUCCUUCUACAAGUUAAAUCUCCUAAUAAGUGGCAGAGGACGGUUUGAUAUUUUUACACAAGAAGAGGGACCAAAAUGAAAAUUAAAAAUUCUCUCCAUUUUCUCUGUAUUGUCCCUCAUUUAACUCCUUUUAAACAUCAUUUUUUUCCUCCAGAGUCCCCUAACAUAUACUUCCUUUCCAUUUUUACCCCUCCACCUGUCCAACCCAUACCCUAAUCAAUGUACUACAUGAACAGUUCAGAUUGCAUCAAGGUAUAGUAGUUGGCAGCUUCGUCCUCUAGCUCCCACAACCCAUCACCAAAAGUAAACCCAUCCAGACCAUUGAAUUUAAACCCGUUACCCGCCUCGUCAUCGAACCCGUCAGCCUCCCUCUGCGGAAUCCCGAGCUCGUCAUCGGAAGCUUCUAAAAGACGUCGCAAAACCCUCUCGCUCUCAUCCUCCUUCAAAAAGCAUGCAUUAGAAGAAGUAGGAGUGGAAGAGCCAGAGGACGAGGCAUAGCCUUCGAGAGCCGACU
rnacentral:lncRNA from 1 species